GGCGAACGCUGGCGGCGUGCUUAACACAUGCAAGUCGAACGAAAAGAGGGAAAGAGCUUGCUCUUUCCGGAAUUGAGUGGCAAACGGGUGAGUAACACGUAAACAACCUGCCUUCAGGAUGGGGACAACAGACGGAAACGACUGCUAAUACCGAAUAAGUUCCAAGAGCCGCAUGGCCCAUGGAAGAAAAGGUGGCCUCUACCUGUAAGCUAUCGCCUGAAGAGGGGUUUGCGUCUGAAUAGCUGGUUGGAGGGGUAACGGCCCACCAAGGCGACGAUCAGUAGCCGGUCUGAGAGGAUGAACGGCCACACUGGAACUGAGACACGGUCCAGACUCCUACGGGAGGCAGCAGUGGGGAAUCUUCCGCAAUGGGCGAAAGCCUGACGGAGCAACGCCGCGUGAGUGAUGACGGCCUUCGGGUUGUAAAACUCUGUGAUCCGGGACGAAAAGGCAGAGUGCGAAGAACAAACUGCAUUGACGGUACCGGAAAAGCAAGCCACGGCUAACUACGUG
rnacentral:rRNA from 1 species